UACGUAGGGUGCAAGCGUUGUCCGGAAUUAUUGGGCGGAAAGAGCUCGUAGGCGGUUCGUCGCGUCGGCUGUGAAAACCUGAGGCUCAACCUCAGGCCUGCAGUCGAUACGGGCGGACUUGAGUACUGCAGGGGAGACUGGAAUUCCUGGUGUAGCGGUGAAAUGCGCAGAUAUCAGGAGGAACACCGGUGGCGAAGGCGGGUCUCUGGGCAGUAACUGACGCUGAGGAGCGAAAGCGUGGGGAGCGAACAGG
rnacentral:rRNA from 1 species